CACGUAGGGCGCAAGCGUUGUCCGGAAUCACUGGGCGUAAAGCGCACGUAGGCGGAUUGUUAAGUCAGGGGUGAAAUCCUGGAGCUCAACUCCAGAACUGCCUUUGAUACUGGCGAUCUUGAGUCCGGGAGAGGUGAGUGGAACUGCGAGUGUAGAGGUGAAAUUCGUAGAUAUUCGCAAGAACACCAGUGGCGAAGGCGGCUCACUGGCCCGGUACUGACGCUGAGGUGCGAAAGCGUGGGGAGCAAACAGG
rnacentral:rRNA from 1 species